rnacentral:rRNA from 1 species
UACGUAGGGUGCAAGCGUUAAUCGGAAUUACUGGGCGUAAAGCGUGCGCAGGCGGUGCUGUAAGACCGAUGUGAAAUCCCCGGGCUUAACCUGGGAACUGCAUUGGUGACUGCAGCGCUGGAGUAUGGCAGAGGGGGGUGGAAUUCCACGUGUAGCAGUGAAAUGCGUAGAGAUGUGGAGGAACACCGAUGGCGAAGGCAGCCCCUGGGCCAAUACUGACGCUCAUGCACGAAAGCGUGGGGAGCAAACAGG